UUGUUUGUGUUAUUAAAAUAUUAAAAACAUCAGUUUUGCGGUUGAUUGCUAUGAAAAAGCAAAAUGCCUCGAGCUUACGAAAAAAAGACCGAUAGAAGUUCUUA